rnacentral:rRNA from 1 species
AGAGUUUGAUCCUGGCUCAGGAUGAACGCUAGCUACAGGCUUAACACAUGCAAGUCGAGGGGGAACGACAUCGAAAGCUUGCUUUUGAUGGGCGUCGACCGGCGCACGGGUGAGUAACGCGUAUCCAACCUGCCCACCACUUGGGGGAUAACCUUGCGAAAGUAAGACUAAUACCCAAUGACGUCUCUAGAAGACAUCUGAAAGAGAUUAAAGAUUUAUCGGUGAUGGAUGGGGAUGCGUCUGAUUAGCUUGUUGGCGGGGUAACGGGCCCACCAAGGCGACGAUCGAGUAGGGGGUUCUGGAGAGGAAAGGGUCCCCACCAUUGGAACUGAGACACGGUCCAAACUACCUACGGGAGGCA